CUUCUCUUCUCCCUCUCGUCUCUCCCUCCCCAUCUCCCACCGUCGCCGCCACGCGCCGCCGCCUCCGUCUCCGCCUUCCCCUCUCGCCGACGCGAGCGCGUCUACCUCCGCCGCAACGGCCACGUCCACCUCCGCCGCCGCGGCACGCGUCCCCUCCUCCCUCUCGUCUCAUCCUCUUUCUCUCCCGUCGCCGCCGCCUCCGCCUGCCCCUCGCGACGCCACCUCCGCCUCGCGCCGUCGCCAUCGUCGUCCCUGUCGCCUCGAGCCGCCGCGUCCAUAUCCACCUCCGCCUUCCCCUCGCGUCGCCGCCUCCGCCUUCCCCUCGCGUCGCCGCCUCCGCCGCCGCCGCCGCGCCAUGUGGUUGCUCGCCGCCGUUGGAGAAGCUGGAUCCGAUGGCCAAGCCCUCAAGGCCGUCGCAUCUUAUGGCGGCAAGUUCAUGGCCGGCCAAUCCGGUGGUUUGACGGAUGAUGGAGGGGAUGGUGGUGAUGGAGCAGUGGGGCGAAAUCCUUGCCCAUGCCACCAGCAUCCCUUCGCCACGUCCCUCUAUCUUCUGCUCUUGCGAUACACGAGCCGCUGCCGUCGUCGAGCAUUGCCUCCCUCCCCAACAUCUUCCGGGGCGUUCGAGGUGGUAAGGUGCUCGAUCCGGUGAUGAUACGAUCGACCUCAACGGGGAGAAGCUCGGUUAACUGGCGCUACGAUCGAUCUAGAUGGCUUACUCACAAGGCAAGCCUGUCAUCACACUGUCCUAGAAUCGGGUCGCCCCAGUGACGCCCUUGUCUGGUGCUGCAUGCCUCCUCAUCCUCUCCCUCACGCGACUGCAAGAUUUGAAUCACUCCGGUGAACGAGAAAAGCGUCCAGCCAACCACUUCUCCUCGUUGACUGUCUUUAUCUUCCCUCCAGCCCUGGCAGCAAUAGAGCAAGCUCAUGUCACCAUAGUCCCAUGCUCUUGGGGAAGGAGAUACUAGCAUCCCGCCUACGGAAAUUGCCAUCGCCGCUGCUUCCUCAAGGUGAGAAAGAUAGUACAAGGAAAACAUGUACUUUGGGGAAUCUGUUAUGGACAAUAGUAAAGGGAGAGUUUCUUUUACAAGAAUAAACCAUAAACCAUUUCCAAUUUACCAUUAUUAUUCCGCAAUAUAGAACGACAAAAGCCUGAGCUCACCCGAUCUGAAAUUUUUUCAGCUUUUAUCUUAUUUGACAGUUCAAGAACUGGUGUAAUAGUUGAUAGAACUAUACUUGCAGAAAAUAGAAAACAUGACCUCUGCGUGCAGGCGAGAUUCUCAGUGGUGAUGCAGACGGAGGCAGUACAACAUUCACAGUGGUAACAUGACACUAAGGUUUGGUUGAUUGGGCGAAGAAAAAUAGAGUUUGGUCAGGAUGCAGUGUUUCCUCUGAGAAAAUUGUUGCAAAAAGCAGCUGCACAAGACAAUUGUGAGCGCUUCUGAAAAAUGAAUAUAUAUCACUGGUGACAGAUUAUAGAUUUGGACUUACGUAAAUUGGUAUGGUAUCCUUGUGAGUAUUCAUCUACAGUUCAAGGUAUGAUACAUACACUGCAUAUAUUUAUAGGUCCAUCAUCCUUGUUACAGUUUCUUUCUGUUAACCAGAUAAUAAUGUUUUCUUGUAUGUCCCCAAUUAUUAUCAUUCCUUCUCACACAAAAAUUGUGCCUUUUGUAUUUCUGUAAUUUUGUCAUAAAAUGCUACCACUUUGUAUAUUACAAGGAAAUAACCAUUAUCAUGGUUUCUUAUUAGUCAAUGGCAUGUUUCCGAGAACAAGAAAGGAUUAAUCAAUACUCUUUCUGAGAACAGGAAAGGAUUAAUCAAUACCAACUUCUUUUUGUAAUUUUAUAGAAAUUGUUGGUUUUCCUUAGCAGUGGCUGGUGAUGAAUUUCACUGCAUCAUAUUUUAUUUGCUUUCAGACAAGAUAUGAUGGCAAUUGUUCCACAUGAAAUCUGCUAACACAUGCAUAUUUGGUAUGUACUUCUAUCCUGAUUAUAUGGCUUUACCUGCCCUUUUCAAUGCCUUCUACGGAGUGUCGCCUAUUAAAAUCAGUAAUUGACAAGCCACAUGGCAUGCUCAUAGUUUUUUUGGGUUAAAUAACUUGAAGCAUUUCAGCGUAGAAGCUGGGUAAAGUAUGGGACAAGUAUGUCGCUGAUCAUCUCCACUUAAGGCGAGAAACAUUUUUCUUCAUUUGUUUCAGGAAUUGUAAAUGUUCUUAGGUUUAGAGGUGAGAUCCAUGUGCAUGCUAUCUAACUGAUGCUCUCUGGUUUACCAAAUUUGUGGACUUCUAUGUAUUGAAUGAUACCCUUACAGGUUGUAUUUGAAAGGUCAAAAUAAUUGAUGCAUCACCAUGUUUCUUGCCCUAUUCAUUCUAUUUGAGAACAUAUUUAUAUAUUACUACUGCCGGCAUAUACAAGUUACAAUUUACAAGUUGUUACCUUUACUGGAAGGCAUAUACAAGUUACUAUAUCCCUUUUUUUUUGACCAAAAACAGCAGGAGAAACUCCUUCUGUCCUAUAUUAAUAUAUAUAUAAAGAACAAUAUUUACAUGAGAGAACUACAAGAUUAGAAUAUACAAAAACUUAUGCUAGAGUUUGGCAUUUAUUCUUUCUACUCGUUGAAUCAAGAGAGUAUCUUCAAGUAAUCCUAGCUCUGAAUACUUCAAAUUAUCACUUAUCAUUGUAGCUGAGAUAUAUUUUCUUACUUUAGUUACUUCUUGCUUUAAAUUAUCUAUACAAACAACACCUUCGUGAAUAUGGUUUAAUGCACUCCAACGAGUUUAACACUUCCUUUAGCUCUAUAAUUAUGUGCAGAUUUUUUUAGUUUAAAUUCACCUUUUAGAGACUAUUCUUGUGAUUGAAAUUUUUUGGAUACUUAUUUUUUCCUCAAGUUCAUUGAGUGUGGUCUAGGCAUACAUGGUUGCAUCAUUUUGCCAUGGAUUUUAUCACUUGAGAAUAUGCAUGCUAGAAUUAGGCUUCUUAUCUUUCAGGUUUUUUCUAGGGUUAAUUUAAGAUUAGAACUGGCAUGUACCUUUAUAUGUAAAGAAUUUUGUUUUUUCACCUCAAACCCUCUAUGGUGUGUACUUCCUACAGAGUAAUACGUAGCAUGUUUUCUCUGUUCAAAAUUUAAGGUCAUAUAUACAUAUUCAUUUAGUCCUGGUAUUUAAGUAAGAUCCAUUGCAGUGAGUGUGUGUAUAUGAACUUUUGUAUGUAAAUAUAUCUAACCAAUUUACUGUGGCUUAUACAAAAUUAGAUCCUAAAUUACAUUGAGAAACCUUUUGUAUUUCCAAUCAACUAUACUAGAGCAUAUAUGUAUAGCUACCAGUAUUGUGCAUUUGAAAAAUAGAGCAUUUUUUCCACCAACGGUGGUUGAUCUGUUAGUCUCAGGUCCCAAUUAGAUGCAAUAUUUCAUCUUAGUGCAAUUUAUUUUGAUCUUCAGUUUGACCUAAAUAAUUGUAAUUUGCAUAUGUCCUAUUUUUCUGAUCAAUGACAUUCUUAAAUAUUCCUAUAGGAUGUUAGCAUCUCAUACAUGAGCUUUGAUCUAUAUACACCACACUUGGUAUUAUCUCUAACCAUGUUGAAUUAUCAUGACAUCGAUGCAUUUUAACCUGAAGGAAUUAUAAUCGUUCAGAAUUUUGUAAUUUACAUUAAGUAUACCAUGGCUGAAUAAUAUAAUGAUUCAAGUUUUUAGUUAGUUGUAUUUCUCGAAAAUGAGUUGGAGUUGUUUGGUUGAAUUCCUGUAGGUACAGCUGUUGCUGCCAUUUGUGUACAUUGGGGAAAUUUUUUAAACAUAAACUAACAAGACAUAUAUAUUUUGCAGUACAUUUUAGACACCCAUUGCCUUGGAUACUAAGUCUAACUAGACAUGUUUUCUAUUUGUCAACCACCUUUUUGUUCGGUCAAAUAAUAAUUGAUCUACACUGGAGUUAUUCUCCAUUCUCCAAUGUAAAUAUAAUAACUAAUGUAGUUUAGGAUCUGAUGUAUUUCCUUUCGAUAUAGAUGAGGCUGACAGUGCAAACAACAAUGAGCUGUAGUACAAGUUGUAAGCAUUUCCUUUUUACAUACUGACAAUUGUACUAACAGAUAUCAUGAUAUACUAAUGAUAUUGCUACAUUUGACAACUGUUAAAGCCUUUGCUCUCAUCCAGGAAGCUGGCUUUGGAACCCAACACCUCUAAGCGGAAAUGUGCACGCAUAUCAGAGCUGGCUAAUAUGCUGCGUGCAGUUUGUGACUUUACUCAGAAACACAAGGCCGCAACCAAGUCGCUAAAGUGAUUAAUUAAGUGCAUCGCUAUUUUGGCCUGGUUGUUCUUGGCUACAUAAGAUUGAUCCACGAUAUUAAUGCCAGAUCCAUUGAUCUAUAGCAAUUGUAGAUCAGUUGGCAGUGGCGGAGGGUAAAAUUAAUCAGCGGUGAGCAGCUUGAUGCUCUCAGCAAUAUUCAGAUGAAUUCGUUUGUAGUGUGGUUGUUUCUAUGAAGAGAGGUCUAAUUUGUUUGGAGGAUUAGAGGGAUGCAUGAAGUUUGAAGAAAUUUUGGAACUAAUAUGAGAAAGAGGACGCAAUGCUCAUUUGUGGCAAUUGAUGCAAAAAGCAGCUGGAUAAUACAACUGUGAGGAUCGAGAGAUUAUCAGCAUUGCUCCCUGAUAUUGGUGCAAUACAAAAGCUUAUCUGACCCCUUUCCAUCGGUGGGAUCGAGAAAUUAUCAGAAUUGCUCCCUGAUAUUGGUGCAAUACAAAAGCUUUUCUGACCCCUUUCCAUCGGUGGGAGACAAUACUUAGCCAUUGUGUUAGGCUGUGUUUAGAUCUAAAGUUUAGAUCCAAACUUCAGUCCUUUUCCAUCACAUCAACCUAUCAUACAUAUAACUUUUCAGUCACAUCAUCUCCAAUUUUAACCAAAAUCAAAACUUUGCGCUGAACUAAACAGUCUUAGUCUAUUUCACUGCUAGACUGUACAUGUGUUUGUUAUGCUGAAACUAUUUCGUUGAAUUUUAUGUACGUAUAUCGGAAGCAUGCGAGGAUGUUGGCAGGGCAGUUGGACCAAACAGUUUAGUAAUAAAAUCUCAGAAAUCCACUGGAUUCGGUAA